ACUAAGUCACGUUCUCUCUACAUUCUGGAGCAACCUAAAUGCCAAAAAAUAGAGAUCUCCAGACUCUGAUGGAGACGCAACCAUCGCCUUUGCCGCGCUGCCUCUCGAACAAACGUCGCCCAAAACUCGGACUGGCCUGUGGCCUCACACCGCCUCCAAACGCUAGAGCUAACCCUGCAAGUUUCCUUCUCCCUCUAUUCCUAUUUUUUUUUUCUUAUUAAGCGGACUUGAUUUUUUUUUCUAUUUUUUUUCCCUAUUUUAUUGAUUACCAGGCUGGAGCAAUUCUCUGAUCUUUUUUCCGAAAAAGGUCUUGAGUCAUCUGACAUAAUCAUCGGUCAUAUAAUUGAAAUGGAGGUAUGAUCUAUACAAAAAGAUGGAUAUAAAUUAUUACAGUUAUAGGGAUGAUGAGGAGGAAAAGAAAUGAAGCAGGUAAAGAAGAGACGAAGUCAUGAUUUACUACAAAUUGAGUAACUUGAGAUGAUGAGCUACAUAAGGAUAUUAAUUUUUGUUCAGCUUGAUCUUCUAUUGUAAUAGCCUCACUUUAUAUAGAGGAUUUGGGCUCAGCUUAACUUUUAACUAAUAUAUUGCCUUUAUGUAUAUUUUUAAAUAAUUCAAUUGAAUAUGUAACAUUAUAAAGGAAUUUGUAUUCUAUUAUAUUUGCAAGCACUAAAUAGAUAAAAGUCAUCUAACUUUUAA